rfam:Dipodomys ordii contig_74870, whole genome shotgun sequence.
GGGAAGGUGUCUCAGUGGUAGAGCACUUGCCUUGCAUGCCAGAGUCUCUGGGUUCGAUUCCUCAGCAUCCCA